AACGAACGCUGGCGGCAGGCUUAACACAUGCAAGUCGAGCGCAUCCUUCGGGGUGAGCGGCGGACGGGUGAGUAACGCGUGGGAACGUGCCCUCUUCUACGGAAUAGCCUCGGGAAACUGAGAGUAAUGCCGUAUACGCCCGCAAGGGGAAAGAUUUAUCGGAGGAGGAUCGGCCCGCGUUGGAUUAGGUAGUUGGUGGGGUAAUGGCCUACCAAGCCGACGAUCCAUAGCUGGUUUGAGGGGAUGAUCAGCCACACUGGGACUGAGACACGGCCCAGACUCCUACGGGAGGCAGCAGUGGGGAAUCUUGGACAAUGGGGGCAACCCUGAUCCAGCCAUGCCGCGUGAUCGAUGAAGGCCUUAGGGUUGUAAAGAUCUUUCAGCUGGGAAGAUAAUGACGGUACCAGCAGAAGAAGCCCCGGCUAACUCCGUG
rnacentral:rRNA from 1 species